rnacentral:rRNA from 1 species
CGGACGGGUGGAGUAACAACGUGAGCAACCUGCCUUUCUAGAGGGGACGAACAGUUGGAAACGAACCGCUAAUAACCGCAUAAAAUAAACGGAACCGCAUGAUUCUGUUAUCAAAGGAGAAAUCCGCUGAAAGAUGGGCUCGCGUCUGAUUAGAUAGUUGGUGAGGUAACGGCCCACCAAGUCGACGAUCAGUAGCCGGACUGAGAGGUUGAACGGCCACAUUGGGACUGAGACACGGCCCAGACUCCUACGGAAGGCAGCAG